ensembl:lncRNA
CUCACAGCCGUGUGUGUUACUGUCUGACUGGAACAGGAAGGAACUCAGCCAAGAAUGGAGGGAAGAGACUCUGGCUUCCUGCACAGGCAUUUAUUCAAUAAUUUACAGUACUUCUUUGGAAGUUUAGUCUAGAAAACAGCCUAUAGCCAGUGCUGCUCAUGCUCACUCAGGAUGUCAAUAUUGCCCUACGUAAUUUGAUCGUAUUUGGUCAUAAGUUGCUUCAAGUCUGUUACAGUAUUUGCGGUCGUCCACAUAUCCGUGUUAUAAUCAAGAAUCCAGGCUUGGUUUCCAUCUGCCCCCUGUUGGAAACCACGUUGUUGUGCUGUGAAUCCAUCGUCAUUUCUCUGCAGUGACUCAGGCUGAGGCUACUGUGUAUAUUCUAUCUCAGUAGUCCUACUCCAGUCUCCUAUUCACCUUGUUUUAACCUGGAUUUACUAAACAAAAGGACACCGGAUAAGACAGGAGAAAUACUCCAGAUAUAACACUGACCCUAGCCCCCCGACACAAACUAUUGCAGCAUAAAUACUGGAGGCUGAGACAGGAGGAGUCAGGAGACACUGUGGCCCUGUCCAAUGAUACCCCCCGGACAGGUCCACAUGGGCAGGAUAUAACCCCACCCACUUUUCCGAAGCACAGCCCCCACACCACUAGAGGGAUAUCUUCAACCACCUACCUAUUACCCUGAGACAAGGCCGAGUAUAGCCCACGAAGAUCUCCCCCACGGCACGAACCCGGACAGGAAGAUCACGUCAGUGACUCAACCCUUUCAAGUGACGCACCCCUCCUAAGGACAGCAUGGAAGAGCACCAGUAAGCCAGUGACUCAGCCCCCCUCCGUAACAGGGUCAGAGGCAGAGAAUCCCAGUGGAGAGAGAGGAACCGGCCAGGCAGAGAAAUAUGAAAUAUGAAAUAUGAAAUAUGCAGAUCGACGGAUUACAAGCAAACCUACAUUGUAAAACUUCUGACAACUUUAUACUUUAUACUAUAGCUUUAUUUAUAUUGAUUUCAGAAGGCAUAAAUUAUAUCACUUUAUACCACUUUCAGAAGGCAUGGAUCAUUAACUCAUUGUCAACAUGACUCUGCCGUUGUGCUGUAGAAUUUGUGAAUGUUGUGUCUUGUAUAAUACAUCUAGGUUGACGGUGACGUAGAAUUUGUGAAUGUUGUGUCUUGUAUAAUACAUCUAGGUUGACGGUGAGUUUAUACUUGGAUAAAGUGUAUGUUUUUUGUUAACUGUAAUUUAGUUGUUCCAACAUUUCCUCCAUCUUGUGCCGAUAUCAGUUAUUUUUUAAAUCUUGGUUCCAAUAGUUGAUAUAUUUUUCUUAGAGGUUGUCAGUUGGAUCUCUGAUAGGUUUUCUAUAUCUUACCUGUUAUAUAUGAGUGUAUUUUUCUGACCCAGAUAGGAUUCCCUCAAUAUUUCUCUGCUGUCCAAAAGCUUUCAGGUUGAAUUUUCGUGAUAUAUGACUUUUAGGUUGCAGAAAGUUUUCAUACCCCUUGAUUUAUUCCACAUUUUGUUGUUACAGCCUAAAUUUCAAAAUGGAUUAUAUAUGUUUUCUCACCCAUCUACACAUAAUAACCCUUUUGUGACAAAGUGUAAACAUGAUUUUAGAAAUGUUUGAAAAUGUUUUUGAAAAUGAAAUACAGAAUUAUCUAAUUUACAUAAGUUUGUAGAAGCAGCUCUGACAGCUGUGGGGCUUUCUGGGUAAGUCUCUUAAGAGCUUUGCACACCUGGAUUGUACAAUAUUUGCACAUUAAUCUUUUCAAAAAUGUUUCAGGCUCUGUCACGUUGGUUGUUCAUCAUUGCUAGACAGCCUUUUUCAACUCUUUCCAUAGAUGCUCAAGCAGAUUGAAGUCGAAACUGUAACUAGGUCACUCAGGAAAAUUCUAGGUUGUCUUGGAAAGCAACUCCAGUGUAUAUUUGGCCUUGUGUUUUAGGUUAUUGUUCUGCUGAAAGGUGAGUUUGUCUCCCAGUGUCUGUGGGAAAGCAGACUGAACCAGGUUUUCCCCUAGGAUUAUGUCUGCGCUUAGCUCUAUUCCAUUUCAUUUUAUCCCCAAACAAACGUCCUUGCCGAUGACAAGCAUACCCAUAACAUGAUGCAGCGACGACCAUGCUUGAAAACAUGAAGAGCGGUACUCAGUGAUGUGUUGGAUUUGCCCCAAACAUAAGGCUUUGUAUUCAGGACAAGGUUAAUUUCUUUUCAGUUGUUUUAGUGUAUUGUUGCCAACAGUAUGCAUGUUUUGGAAUAUUUUAACUUCUUUUCACUCUGUCAAUUAGGUUAGUAUUGUGGAGUAACUACAAUGUUGUUGAUUCAUCCUCAGUGUUCUCCUAUCACAGCCAUCUGUAACUGUUUUAAAGUCACCAUUGGCCUCAUGGUGAAAAUCCCUGAGCCGUUUCCUUUCUCUCCGGAAAAUUGAGUUAGGAAAGAUGCCUGUAUCUUUGUAGUGACUGGGUGUAUUGAUACAACAUCCAAGGUGUAAUUAAUAACUUCACCAUGCUUAAAGAGAUAUUCUGUGUCAGCUUUAUUUAUGUUUUACUCAUCUACCAAUAGGUGCCCUUGGUUGCAAGGCAUUGGAAAACCUCCCCGAUCUUUCUGGUUGACUCUGUGUUUAUAAAUACACUGCUCGACUGAGGGACUUUACACAUAAUUGUAUGUUAAACACUAUUAUUACACACAGAGUGAGUCCAUGCAAGUUAUUAUGGGACAUGUUAAGCACAUUUGACUCCUGAACAUAUUUAGGCUUGCCAUAACAAAGGGGUUGAAUACUUAGAGACAUUUCAUCUUUUCAUCUUUUUUUUUUUUUUUACCAAUUUGAAAAAUUUGAAAAAACAUAAUUCCACUUUGACAUUAUGUGAUAUAGUGUAUAGGCCAAUGACACAGAAUCUCAAUGUCACCCAUUUUAAAUUCUGUCUGUAACAACAACCCACUGUGGAAAAGAUCAAAGGGGGGUGUGAAUACCUUCUGUGUUUGAAAACAUCUACAUUCUUCAGUCUAAAAAAAAAAAAGAUUUUUAAAAUUCUGUCAUGGAAAUAAUAGUAUUUCCUAUUACAACGUCAUUAACGGUUUAUCUGCCUUUAGUUUUCCAAGGAUAGUUAGAUAGGGUUGUGUUUUUAGGGAGUGAUAUUGGUUAUUGUAGAAAACAUUUCAUUUUUCUUCCAUUUUUGUUCUAAACUAUGAAGUUGUUGAUUUUGUUCGCUUUUUUUUCCCCUUUUGAAAACGAACACGUGAAAAGAUUCUGUGAAAUAAAAUAAUUCUGGCGAUUGAGAAUGCGAGUGUAACAGAGGUUCUGAAAAGACCACGACUGACAUUAUGGAAGUUGCUCUGGUUUGAACCUAAGCUCCAGGUCAUGUAAAUAUGAAGGCGAUAAGGACCAUGUACUGCAUGUCAUUAAUUAUUCAAGUUUUGAAUGGUCAUCGCCACACUGUACAGUUGGGCCCAUGCAAGAGGCAUGAACUUAGAGGUGGAAAAAAGGGUAACUAUUUGCUAUUUGAAGAAUCUCAAAUCUAAAAUAUAUUUUGAAUUGUUUAACACUUUUUUUUGGUUACUACAUGAUUCCAUAUGUGUUACUUUGUCGUUUUUGAUGUCUUCACUAUUAUUCUACAAUGUAGAAAAUUGUAAAAAUAAAGAAAAACCAUAGAAUGAGAAGGUGUUGUAAAAUGUUUGACCGGGAGUGUAUAUAAUACCGUAAUCAGUAAUCAGCGUGUCCAGACUCUUCUGAAUUUGAAAUUCUGCUCUUAAUCUGAUUUAAGGAAUUUACCUCAAAUUUGAUGAUUGAUAAUUCUCUCGUCUUCUCGGCGGAGG